CUCAACAUCGGGUUGCUCCAGUACCAGUAGCUCAAUGGUCCAUUCUGCGUCCCGCUCCUCUGCCAUCAACCCCUGGCAACAGGGGUCUCU